AGAUGAGGCAUGAAAAAAAAAUUGACUCUUUGCAACCAGUUUCCCAUCAACCUGUAAGCCAAAGGCAGGGAGGGCAAUUAUGUUCCAGUCCCACUGGAGCAUUUCCAGCUGUGAAAGACACUUGCACUGAAGCACUUUGCAAUACUCCGCUCUUAUAGCUGCUGAACCUAGGCAGAAGCUGCUGAGAGGCUAUCUAAAGUCUAGGCUUGUCUCUGUGCACUGUAUUUCUGUUACACUGCUUCAGAAACUGCUUCCGAAUGGUUUGUGAUUAAGCAAACUAUCCACCCCUUAGGAUCUCCCUGAGCUUUAGCUUUCUUUUGGGUUAUAUGGCAUCUUCACAAACCCAGAUAAAAUCCAGCAGACACAUAAGGAAAACCAGCCCUCCCUCUGCAUAAAACCACAAAGCACUGAAUUGCCAGGGUUUCCCCUCCUGCCUUCCACUUUAACCCUCCAGCAUUGCCCUCCUUGCAUUUCUGUUCUCCCAGGAGCCCACAUUGCUCUGUGCUUAGUGGCAGGCGAUGAAAUCAAACCGUGCAUUAGCAGCUCCGUAAUAGCUUUGCUCAGUGGAACCCAGCUUCCUUCAUUAAUCCAGAAAAUGAGAGUUGUUUUCGUACAUUUGAGAAGCUAAUUAUUUAAGUGCUGGGAAUUAAGGCUCAUCAGAUACUGGAGACUGAUUUUGGUUUUGUUUCCCAGGGGAUGGAACAAGAUGGAAGGAAGCUGGUUCUGCACAGGUGUGCAGUGUGGUAGCCCACCUCUACUUGGGGCAGGGAGCAACAGCCUGCAUCCCUUUCUACCUCAAGCAGAAAAGUCUCUCUCUGUGUAUGUCCCUUUCCUCACAGACACUGAUGGCUCGUCUCACGACUCUUUUCAACCUAUGGGCUGUGAGUCCUUGGAAUUCCAGGCGCUACUUCGAAGAGGUCUGCAAAGGAUCACAAAGACAAGCAAGCUUAUUGUCAGUAGGUUUAAAUUAGCUAUACAAGGGUCCAUAAUUCCACUGGAAAACUUCAGGACAUGACUACAAAGUUCUGUGUCAGCUACAUCCUUUGAAAUCCACCUAUCUUUGCACUCUUUGGACUAACAGGCAUCCUUUUGGUAGGACCUGUGCAGCUGAACUGACCCUUUGUCACUGAAUGUUGUGAAUUCAAGCAGCCACGCUGUCCUUUAUACUGGGAGUGAGCUGGGGGAAAUCUCUAAUGUGGAUCUGGCACCUAUCAGAUGCUCUUACUUAUGGAUUGGACUGAAAACAAAACCUUUGUUCUAGAGAAGAUGGUGCAGCUGGGACUAUACAAGCAAUUCAAUUUGGUAGCAGGGUCAGUAUUUUGUCCCUGCGAUAAAAGAGCAGGUACACAGAGUACUGCCUGCAAACUGCUGGGUGUCUUAAGUAGCUCAGAUGAACUUCAUUGGGAACUAAAGGCAUUCAGCUUCCGGCAGCAUCAUGCAGCAGAUUCUGCCUGAUAUCUCCAGAGGUUUAAGCGCUGUGGUCAGACAUACAACCCAGUCUGCUUUAAAUGUUUUGGAUUAAGUAAUGGUGGUGCUAUUUAUUUGAAUUGAAGUUCAUAAUGCUUAAAUGAAAACAGGCUUGAGCUAGAAAAAAGAAAACAAAAACAAAACAAUUUUCACUAAAGAUUUAAAAAUAGUUUAUUUUCAAAAUGUUAAAAAUGAUACAUUUAGGGUCUGUCCUUUUUAGAGUGCCUGGAAAAAUGCAGAAGAGGCACUGAGGAAUCUUCCUGUAUCAUGCAUUGGUUAUUAGCAUAGAGGGCCCUCCUGCUUGUAAGAGCAAAUUGGUUCUUUGUGAACAGCACAAGAUGCCAUAGCUGGAUCUAGCACUCUAGCCAUACGCACACAGGCUGACUUCUUUGUUUCUCUCACUAGACGACGAAAUGGGAUUCAUAUCUGGAAGCCUGGCUCUAGGCGAAGCCAAAAAGGAGUGAGUGCCAAAGGCCAGCACCUACUACAGAAUACACAAGCAGUGCUUCUCUCCUGUUUAUAUGGAGGACUGCUUGCUUAGGUGUUUCAUUUGAUGUCUCUACCAGAAGCAGGAUGAUACUUGAGGAGUACUACUUUAUGACAACAUAUUCCUGAGUUCCUUUCUCAGUUCUACCAAGCCUGUGCAGAAUUAAGAAAUGUGCAAGCUAUUAGCUCCUUGAGUUUCAAACCAGCAAGCAAUGCGAGCCCCUGAACAGUCCUCUUGAAAUCCACUUUUGGAGCCAGGCUCUUCAGGCUCUUGUAUGUUCAAACCUAAGAAAGCUUCACUUGUAAUUCGUAUUUUUGUGAAGAAUCCUAGCUAACUCCUUGGUAUUGUUCACGCAUCUGAUCUAAGGGAAAGGUUCACGUUUACCUGAGAACUUGGACGUUUUAAUACAUGUUAUAUGGAAAAGCAUGUCCAGGUAAUAAAGUAAGGACUGAUUCAUAGCUACCUAGCA
rnacentral:lncRNA from 1 species